GAUGAAGAACGUAGCGAAAUGCGAUAAGUAAUGUGAAUUGCAGAAUUCAGUAAAUCAUCGAAUCUUUGAACGCACAUUGCGCCCGCCAGUAUUCUGGCGGGCAUGCCUGUUCGAGCGUCAUUUCAACCAUCAAGCCCCCGGCUUGUGUUGGGGACCUGCGGCUGCCGCAGGCCCUGAAAACCAGUGGCGGGCUCGCUAGUCACUCCGAGCGUAGUAAUACAUCUCGCUCAGGGCGUGCUGCGGGUUCCGGCCGUUAAAAAGCCUUAUUUACCCAAGGUUGACCUCGGAUCAGGUAGGAAGACCCGCUGAACUUAAGCAUAUCAAUAAGCGGAGGA
rnacentral:misc_RNA from 1 species